rnacentral:rRNA from 1 species
ACCGCGACCCCAGGUCAGGCGGG